CGGUGCCCUCGACCCCUUACGGAGACAGAAUGAACCCGUCAAGCUGGUGUUGGAGUCCGACACCCUCCCCUCGGAUGACUCAGAGCCAAAGAAACGCACCUUCCACACGCGGCAACUCGUUCGGGCAUUUUCCCCAGUAAAGACCGUUCCCUCCCGGAGAAGAAUUCUGCUGCCAACUGCAAACGCACCUCAAUGUACAAGCGGGGCAACAGUCUGAUAAACCCAUUGUGCGUUGAAACCACCAUAAAUCGAAAAUGUGUGUAGCAAACCUAACCUACCACACAUCACAGCCUGGCCCGGCCUGCCUCGAACACGCUUAUACACUUG